AGAGUUUGAUCCUGGCUCAGAACGAACGCUGGCGGCAGGCUUAACACAUGCAAGUUGAACGGGAUUUGUGUGGUGCUUGCACCAUAUAAUGAGAGUAGCGCACUGGUGAGUAACACGUGGGAACGUGCCUUUUAGUGGGGGAUAACAUCUGGAAACGGAUGCUAAUACCGCAUACGCCCUGAGGGGGAAAGAUUUAUUGCUAAGAGGUCGGCCCGCGGUAGAUUAGGCAGUUGGUGGGGUAAAGGCCUACCAAACCUACGAUCUAUAGCUGGUCUGAGAGGACGAUCAGCCACAUUGGAACUGAGACACGGUCCAGACUCCUACGGGAGGCAGCAGUGAGGAAUAUUGGGCAAUGGAGGCAACUCUGACCCAGCCAUGCCGCGUGAGUGAGAAGGUUUUCGAAUUGUAAAGCUCUUUCGGGUGUGAAGAUGAUGACGGUAACACCAGAAGAAGCCCCGGCAAACUUCGUGCCAGCAGCCGCGGUAAUACGAAGGGGGCGAGCGUUGUUCGGAAUUACUGGGCGUAAAGGGUGUGUAGGCGGUUAAGUAAGAUAGUGGUGAAAUGCCGGGGCUCAACCUCGGAAUUGCCAUUAUGACUAUUUAGCUAGAAUGAUGCAGAGGAUAGCGGAAUACCCAGUGUAGAGGUGAAAUUCGUAGAUAUUGGGUAGAACACCAGAGGCGAAGGCGGCUAUCUGGGCAUUGAUUGACGCUGAGGCACGAAAGCAUGGGGAUCAAACAGGAUUAGAUACCCUGGUAGUCCAUGCUGUAAACGAUGAAUGCUAGUUGUUGGAGGAAUUCAGUGACGCAGUUAACACAAUAAGCAUUCCGCCUGGGGAGUACGGUCGCAAGAUUAAAACUCAAAGGAAUUGACGGGGACCCGCACAAGUAGCGGAGCAUGUGGUUUAAUUCGAAGCAACGCGAAGAACCUUACCUAAGCUUGACAUCCUUUUGACCGAUGCCUAAUCGCAUCUUUCCCUUCGGGGACAGAAGUGACAGGUGGUGCAUGGUUGUCGUCAGCUCGUGUCGUGAGAUGUUGGGUUAAGUCCCGCAACGAGCGCAACCCCUAUCCUUAGUAGCCAGCAGUAAGAUGGGCACUCUAGGGAGACUGCCAGGGAUAACCUGGAGGAAGGUGGGGAUGACGUCAAAUCAUCAUGCCCCUUAUGACUUGGGCUACACACGUGCUACAAUGGCGUAAACAAAGGGAAGCAAAGCUGUGAAGCCGAGCAAAUCUCAAAAAUAACGUCUCAGUUCGGACUGUAGUCUGCAACCCGACUACACGAAGCUGGAAUCGCUAGUAAUCGCAGAUCAGAAUGCUGCGGUGAAUACGUUCCCGGGUCUUGUACACACCGCCCGUCACACCAUGGGAGUCGGAAAUGCCCGAAGUCGGUGACCUAACCGCAAGGAAGGAGCCGCCGAAGGCAGGUCUGAUAACUGGGGUGAAGUCGUAACAAGGUAGCCGUAUCGGAAGGUGCGGCUG
rnacentral:rRNA from 1 species